UGAGGAAUAUUGCGCAAUGGAGGCAACUCUGACGCAGCCACGCCGCGUGAAGGAAGACACCCCUAUGGGGCGUAAACUUCUUUUCUACAGGAAGAAAGGGUCGAAUAGACAGAUGACGGUACUGUAGGAAUAAGGACCGGCUAACUCCGUGCCAGCAGCCGCGGUAAUACGGAGGGUCCAAGCGUUGUCCGGAAUCAUUGGGUGUAAAGGGUGUGUAGGCGGGAUGAUAAGUCAGAGGUGAAAGGCUUCAGCUUAACUGAGGAAUUGCCUUUGAUACUGUUAUCCUUGAGUACUGGAGAGGCCGUUAGAAUUCGUGGUGUAGCGGUGAAAUGCGUAGAUAUCACGAGGAACACCAGAAGCGUAGGCGAACGGCUGGACGGUAACUGACGCUGAGGCACGAAAGCGUGGGGAGCAAACAGG
rnacentral:rRNA from 2 species